GCUAGAAGCCAGAUGAAUAACUUCCUUCUAUCAGAAGAAGGGAACAACUACCUCAAAACAGGAAAUGAGACACUAUCCCAAGAGAUAAAGCUACCAUAAUUCUGAGUGCCACAACCGUUGGAAGAUAUCAGGUACGUUGGGGCCUCCACCUGAAAAGGCAGAGCUGUGCCUAAGCUUACCCUUGAUAGAAAGGAAACCAACGGCAUGUCGUCUGCAGUCAAACAAAUCCCAGCGUGGAAAAGAAGAAGAUAAGCCCAAUAUUGGCCAGGCAGAACUCUAUCUGCUGUG